rnacentral:lncRNA from 1 species
GAAGCGGGGGUGAGGAACCCCUGACCAGCCUCAGCGACGUUACAAAGCGGGCUCUCCGGACGCUGAGGAGACGGGAUUUCCCACGGGGCCGGGACUUGGACUUUUUAAGCCAUCAAAACCUGCUGCUAAGCACUCAGGCUUGGGUUUUAAGAGUGCUAGAAGGAAAGUUGGUGAGAACAAUAAACUGUGACCUGUAUAUAUCAUGAGCAACAACCGAAACACAGUGGGGGCAAUUGGUGUGGAAGGAAGCAAACAGUAGAACAAAGUUGUUAGGUUGGUAAUUUUGUUUUGUUUUGCUUUUGCUUUUAAUUGCAGACAUGUAAAUACUAAAUUCUCAUAGUGUUGAAGAACUGAAAUAAAUUGAAAGAAUAACACUCCUCACCAGAUGUUCAGUGUAAAUGUUAUAUAAAAAUGUAAAUGAUUAUAGGAUGUGAGAAUGUCUUAGAGCAACAGCUAUUGAGGGAAUAUAAUUCCCUAGUCUUUUAAUAUGGGUGUGGAGUUUAUGCUAAUUUCACUAGGGUUUUUCAACUAUAUGAUCUGUGUUUAAUUUGGAAGACCUGAAAUUAACUGAUGGGUCUUUAUUUUGAAUUUUCUGCAUUGGUAUAGAUAUUAUUUAAUUUUAUUAUUUUAAAAGCAGUGUUGGAAAGGGAAAA